AUGAACGCUAGCUACAGGCUUAACACAUGCAAGUCGAGGGGCAGCAUGGUCUUAGCUUGCUAAGGCUGAUGGCGACCGGCGCACGGGUGAGUAACACGUAUCCAACCUGCCGUCUACUCUUGGCCAGCCUUCUGAAAGGAAGAUUAAUCCAGGAUGGCAUCAUGAGUUCACAUGUCCGCAUGAUUAAAGGUAUUUUCCGGUAGACGAUGGGGAUGCGUUCCAUUAGAUAGUAGGCGGGGUAACGGCCCACCUAGUCAACGAUGGAUAGGGGUUCUGAGAGGAAGGUCCCCCACAUUGGAACUGAGACACGGUCCAAACUCCUACGGGAGGCAGCAGUGAGGAAUAUUGGUCAAUGGGCGAUGGCCUGAACCAGCCAAGUAGCGUGAAGGAUGACUGCCCUAUGGGUUGUAAACUUCUUUUAUAAAGGAAUAAAGUCGGGUAUGCAUACCCGUUUGCAUGUACUUUAUGAAUAAGGAUCGGCUAACUCCGUGCCAGCAGCCGCGGUAAUACGGAGGAUCCGAGCGUUAUCCGGAUUUAUUGGGUUUAAAGGGAGCGUAGAUGGAUGUUUAAGUCAGUUGUGAAAGUUUGCGGCUCAACCGUAAAAUUGCAGUUGAUACUGGAUGUCUUGAGUGCAGUUGAGGCAGGCGGAAUUCGUGGUGUAGCGGUGAAAUGCUUAGAUAUCACGAAGAACUCCGAUUGCGAAGGCAGCCUGCUAAGCUGCAACUGACAUUGAGGCUCGAAAGUGUGGGU
rnacentral:rRNA from 1 species